CUUCUAGAUUCUCUUUCUACCCAAAACAAUCACCCAAAUUAGGCCCUACCAACCGAUGAACCCGCGUUCCCCUGGCCCCUCUUUCUCUUUCUCAUUCAUUCUAGCAUUUGUGUCCCACUUCUGCAUUUCUCUGAAACAGAGAAGAAACACAACUUCUUCUUCUCUCAUUAAUGGCUCUUUCCCAACAUCUCUUUUGACCCUUUCUUCCAUACCCUCUUUGAUUUUGACGCAGAAUCGAUAAUGAAAAUCGAGGAUCCUCAACUACUGUGAAAAAUCAAGGUUCUUCAAUUUUGGGGACCAACCCAAUUCACUCAUUUCCUUGAUUGCCUACGAGAAAACGAAAAAUCAAUUGCUCCUCCAUUGUCAGAAAUAGCCCCUUAUGCCAUAUGCCGAAACCCUAGAGCUCUGGUACCAAAUCCAGAAAACCAGGAUUUGGAAGAACCCACUAGACUGUGUCCUUGAUUUUUUCUCAACAGCGAGGAAUUCCGGAGAUCAAACCCUAGUUCUCUGGUCCCCAAUCUUGAAGAACCCAAAUUCUUGAAUUUAAAACUGAGUGCAAGGAAUUCAAGAAUUUGGGUUCGUACCC
rnacentral:misc_RNA from 1 species